rnacentral:lncRNA from 1 species
AAAACAACAAAUAUAAUGUUCAUCUCAUAUAUAUAGGGUGCCGGAGGCAAACCACCAUCAACCUAUGAGUUUCACACCCAGAAUAUAAGCAUGCCAUGUGAAAUUCUCAUCAUUGUACAAGAAAAACCCUUGUGGUGGACUAAUCGGACACAAAUUAUCACACAUGCCUGCCGGUGAUGACAUACUGAACCAAACACCACACACCAGUCACUAUCUUUGAGCCAGCUUCUUAAGGUGCUGAAACAGCUUCUGCUUUAUCCACUGCCGGUCAUAUGGCAGAAACGCAUGGAUUUCAUGAUCAUAUCUGCAAACAGAAAACAUAGAUAUAUGUUUAAACUCUGGACAGGAACAUGUGAAUCAACUUUGCCCCGCAGCGAUCUAAUAACGAUUGAUGGUCUUAAAAGUUAUAUUGUACUCACACUAGCGCACUGAUGUCAGCUAGGCCGUCGAUGAAGUUGUACAGGUCGGUGAUGUCAUAGGUUAUGUUCGGGAUCAUUGGGUUGAUAUCCCUGAUUUUCCUUUCAUAGAGACCACAGAUUCCUGACAUUUCCAUGGAGCGGUAGCAAACAGUUAACGAAUUUACAAAACAAAAAUGAAACAACAAGCAAUUCUGGAGGGAAAAAAAGAAUUUGUUUUCUAUUACGGCAUAUGACAUAACCAUCACUUUAGUAGCGAGCAGUUGGGCAUAGAGUAGGGAACAUGAAACAUUGGUCCUUCUCACUAGAAUACUUCUAAUUUGAUACACUGCCACAGAGGAGCUACCCAGUUCAUCUUUGGUUUCCUAAAACUCGAGCACUCAAUAGUUUAAUGCAUAGACAGAUAGAGCCUUAAAUAUUGACCAUGCCUGCAACUAAUAAUAGGAUAGGAUAGGCACAGGCUGAUCAUUAUUAAAAUUUUAAACUAGUCAUUUUUAACACAGCCAAAACUGAGGGGAAAGACUUGUUAAUGAGGAAAAAACGGAAGAGGUUGCAAAUGCAAAACAUAAGAGCAACUACACAAAAUCUCCAGUUCACAUGGUGAUCACUAUGAUCAUGCUAAUAAUAUUAACUGGGCUAGUUAAUUGAACAUUGCAGCACAGGUUCCAUAAAGAAACUACACGUACCAUCCAAUGCAUGGUUAAUUGAAUUAUAAUCCAUGAACGUCCUGGAGCUCCUGUUUUGGGAUGGUUGCAUCAGAAUAAUGGUGUGCCUCCCAGCCUACAAUAUGCGCAAAAAGAGAUUAAGAUAUCAACACACACAAAUUGCUACAACAUUACCAAUGGAUUAAUUUUAAUCUUUGUUAAGAUACCACAGUGAACAGCAAUGUAUAUUAAUGGUUGCUAAAUAAGUGGGAUAAAGAUUUAAUAAACUUCUCCAUAUCUGAGUGCUAAAUAGGUUUCUAAAAUAGCCGCUAUUUCUAGAUGCAACUCUUGUACUAACAGAGCCAGUACUACAAAAGUGAAGAUUGUCUGGAGUACCCAUUGAUAGCAUGUGAGGUAUGGUUCCUCUGUUUAAACAGCUUGAUUGAUACCAUGAUAUUCCUAAGUUGAAGGAUAUUAUGCAAUUAUCAUAUCCACAAAACUUCUUGUCAGGUAGUAAUAAUAGUUGUAGAGUGAAGCAAACGCAACCCAAUACGAUGUCUUGCAACAAGCAAUAGUAUUGAUAACAUACUUAGUCAUGCAAUCACCAAAUAGCUUUCGUUCUGUUUGAGAAAAAGUAAAAAUUUCAUAUCAAGGUCCAACAACAUGCUAGAUCCUCGAGGCAGCUGCUGGAUGGCCGCUUAGUGCCUACCGCCUACCCCGCUUAAGCGCAGGCUAGGUGGAGGUCUAAGAAUGCGGAAGGUUGAAGAAGGCACAUAUUCGUGAAAGAAAAUAUUAAGAGAAUAAAAAGGAGUCAGUGUAGACUGCCCAGUCCAUUAAAGCACCAGAACGACGCAUAUGCACACAACACGAAGUUAGGGCUCCCCCAAGAUUCUCUUCCAUGCAGCCGACUCCACCCCCGUCCCCAUUUCCGCUAGCCCUAACUCCAUGAGCAGGCAAGCAGCAGCAGUGCCAGCAACCAGACAGGUACCACAAUACAAUGUUCUCUCCUUCAUCCUUUCUUCCCCAUGCUGCCUCCUCUCCUUCCUCCACACUGUUGAUUCCUCACGGGAGAAGUUUGAUGCGCCGCCAGCUGCCUACAGCCUCAGGCUUCCUCACAGCACCAAACGAUGCCUUUUGCAACUCUUCAGAUUGUGCGCACGUAAGGUAGUUGCGAUUUUAUGCCGACACAUUGUUUCCUAAUAUAGGUAAGAUCGACUACGCAUCACAUUGAUGAUGGCAACUCUUAAGAAAGGGGAAGCAGAAAAUUUUGAAUAAUGAUUCAGAUAGCAGGCAUUACUUCCUGGCAGUAACUACAUGCUCUGCUUGAAAGGUAAAUUCUCAUAUUGUGCAAGCCAAUAACUAUGCUCUUCUAAAUUGCAGGAAAGCUUUUCAUGUGCAUUUUGUAGGAAGUGUUUAAGCAUAACUGAUGGCAAGAUGGAUAAUAAGUAAAUAAGCAGCACUCGAUCUUUAAUACUGGGCCUAAAUAUCAGAUAUUUCUUUUUCUUGCCGAAAUUAACUUUUUUUUGAUAAUAUGCCCUGAUUGCCUCCUUGCCCAUAGACCAUAGCAUAAGUACUUCAGGUGAAAUACAUAAGGGGGGAAAUACCACAAACAAAAUACUUUGUUCCGCAGCCAUCUUUAUAUUUAAGUCAAAAGGCUCUUUUUCUAAGCUAUGUUGCACUGGUACGCAUCCGACAUGAGAUUAGCCAUUUUUGAAAGAAUUGUGAGUAUACUUUGUUUCACAAGCCAUGUUGUAUAUAAUCCAAAAGGUACGUUAGGCGGGCGGCCAAUAUAUGCACAAUGUUGUCGAGGGUGAUGUGCUGUGGCAUGACGGGAAUCGGCCGAUUGUGGAAGAUAUGGGUUGAGUUCCAAGAACUCAGGAAAGAAGUAAUUUUUUUGCGGUCACCACCAAUCUCCAAAGAGAAUAUAUACACGGUGCACAUGCUGAUCCAGACACCCCAGACACAACCGCCCCUAAACAGUAGGUUACAGGAGAAACGUGGAAACUAGUUACUUCGAAUCGAACUCAAAAUCAAUGCACAUUAUCUACGCCUUUUCUUGUACCAAACAUUAUUGCUUAGCUACAAAGAAAGAAAAGACUAUAUGAAAAUGGGCAGUGAAUGAACGAAAUCCAGUUGUUCUAAGGAUUCGGAUUCGGCAGUCGAGACAUCCAUAUCUAUGGAAUUACAAAAGGAAUAAAAGGAUCUGAAUCCGACCCGGGGACAGACUCAAACCUUAGCACAAACAUUCACAGUGGCAUGCGUUCCCACGUUAAUCAAUAGCGCUAGGUGAUCAUCAACGUCUUCGGAUAGGCCACGGCUCGGCUCGGCUCAACACAUCCUCCCAUAGUCCCUUUUCUCAGCUUAAAACCUAAAAGGCUAUACAUAACUUACUUUUCUAUAUGCUCAUAGUUAAAAAAGGCAUGCCUAGGCUCUAGGGUGGGUUUUGGUCAGAAAAACGCAAAGUGCUUAAUUGCGCUUAAUCUGUGCAAGGCCGUUGAUUGCGGUUAUAUAAACAUUUUCUAUAUAACCUACUUUUCUAUAUGCAAAGCGCUUAAUUGCGCUUAAUCUGUGCAUAAGGGUGGGUUUUGGUCAGAAAAGCGCAAUGCUGUGGCAAAACGUACAAUUAACACCUAGCUCUUUUUUUAACAAUAUAUAUGCUUAGAAAUAAUAGCAGCUGGAAACAUGGAAGAUGCACCCUAACUAGCCGGCAGCAGGCAGUGCAUUAGCGGAAAAAAAACAAAAGGAGACACGAGUUUAGAUUCUACGAACUCCUCCAAUCUACAGACUAUAACCAACCAACCUAGGCUUCCAAGGGAACUUCACCUGACCUCAGUGGCCGCACAAAUUCUUGCGGCGGUGGUAUACAUGGAAGGAGGUCACCUAGACGAAAGAGAGGACAGGGGGCUCACCAUUGCUAGGAAGGACUGUCGGGAAGGAGAGGAUAGUGGCCCGCGCAGAUCUGCCGAUGCCCGAGAGGAGAGGAGAGGAGAGGAGAAGGGGGGCAGCGGUGAAGAGCGGUCGCCGUCGCUGGUUUGCCGAGUAGGCGAGAGCGAGAGGGCGAGCAGGGAGGCGUCUGGAAGAUGUUCUAGGGUUAAGUUUUUGUUUUUUGUUUUUUUGGGGUUGUUCUAGGGUUAAGUGUGGGGUGACGUCGGCUCCGACUGGGCCGGGCCGUGCCGUGCGACCCUGUCCGGAUAGGUCCACGUUCACUAGUUGGACAACUUUUUUCUUUUCUUUAUGAUUAUGAGGGGUCGCUGUUUCUCAAAAAAAAAAAAGAGGUCGCUAGUUGAAAAACUUGCUCAGCGUGUCUGCGCCAUGUGUCUGAGGCCUUUUUUGGUUCAUAGGAUAAGAUUAUCAUAGGAAUAGGAAUUUUGUAGGAAAUGAAUGGCAUAUAUCUCAAAUCCUAUGAGUAGGAAUAGGAAACGAGAUGUCAUUUGAUUGAUACCAAAGGAAUUUUUUCAUUGAGUCUAGGCUUAUUUUUAUUUUCCUAUGAAAUGUGAAGGAUAGAAACCAAUCCUAUGUACGAAUAGGAAUCUAUUCCUAUGAACCAAAGGGCUCUAAAGGAAAAAAUUCUAUAAAAUUCCUAUCCUCUAAAAUUUCUAUGAAAUUUCUCCAAACUAAAGGAGGCCUGAAAGUCUGAAAUGGAUCGGCCUGGACAACUAAAUUAAUCUACACCGGAAGAAGAAUCCACGCCAAAUUAAUCUUCACCAUUUCCAGUAUAUUUCCGGAACAAGCAAAUAAGUAUCACACCCAAGGAUUUAACCUGCACAGCUUUUUUUAGAAUAUUUAAAUUGUAUACUUUUCUAGGAAAAUUUAACUUGUACAGUAUAGUUGAUCGGAGUACUACAGCUUGCGGAUCGAACACAUAUAAAAUACACACUCCCCGAAAAAAAAAACACGGAAUCUCUUUAUUCUUCUAAUUAUCACGGUACAGAUACCCUGAUGCAAAGAAUUAUACAUACAAAACCACCAUAAAAGAAUCCUGUAUACUUUUUUUUGGCGAGAUAAAAGAAUCAUAUACACAUGUGUAAAUAUAUGGCCAACCUAGCCUGCACCUAGCAACUAGUACUAGCAUAUAGCAUAGCAAAGCAGAUAUAUAUACUCGAUCGAACAACACUCCGUGUUCUCUAAGAUGCCAGAACCGGUUAGGAUUAUUUGUAGGACCAACUCACCUCCGCAUAUAUUUCCACAAUACCACUUGCAGCACCGGACUCUUGAGUAGCUUGGACUAGCGUGUAGUACUUGGGUCAUCAGGGCUUGAAUGGGAUGGCGAGGCCGCUGGCGGAGACGGAGACGAGGAGGACAAGGUACCCGCACGGCAGAAGACGCCUCGCGAAGGCCUGGAGGCGCGGCUUGCCGGAGAGGGCCGGGAUGUGCAGAAAGACGGACGUCGCCAUCUCGGCGGCGGCGGUGGCGACGACCACGGCGAGGAUGAGGUAGCAGAAAACAGGACCGAAGAUUGGUCCGGCCUGCGGCGGGUGGAAGGCGGUGCUCAUGCCGAACGCGAAACUGGCAGAACCCACUGCCCAGAGAGAGGUUGCGAGCUGCGCCUUCGUCGGGGAAGCCCCUGGGAACACGGACCGCGCGAUCUCGCUCACCGUGGGCACUUGCGCUUCCAGGUCGAGGUCGGGCGUGGCGGUGUUGUUGGAGCUAGCGGCGGAUGCCAUUGUGGCUGCUGAAUUGCUGGAGCGAAUGAACAAUUAAUUAAGCUGCAGCUCCUGGUGCUAGUAAUACGAAUUGAAUAAUAAUUGUGCCCGAUAAUAUUUAUAGUGGCUGCAGCAACGAGUGUGUGGUCCGGUACGUCCUCAUCAAGUUCCCUUUUCCUCUGAAUAAUAAUGGCGCACGAUGGCCAAAUGUAAUAUAAGCUGCGAAAGCAACAAUUGUCACCAGUACCUAUCCAUGAUCCCAGGUUCACGACUUCAUUUUCCAAAUCGCCGUUUCUGUCCAAAUCGUCGAGUUCACGCGGUUUUGUGCAGCCACGGAGUAUAGAACUACGAUGAGAUCUUGUGGAGAGUCGACGAGUGCCGUGUAGGCCGAAGACCAACGACCGAGGGCGUGGGCGCCUCCGGUGGCCCAUUUUAUUCUCAGGAUAAUAUCACAUGAAAACCAACCUUCAAAAAAAUCAUAAAAGCUAAUUUUGAAAGUUUAAAAAAAACUGAAAAUAUAUAUUUGAUGUUAAGAGGGUAAUGUUCUAUAGGCGCCCCAAACUCUAAAUCACAUUACCGGAUAUGAGCUAUAAAAAAACAAACUCAGCAUGAAUAGUGAUGUUACUGUUCGACACUAUGUAAUGAUGAUUUCUUUUUAUAGCUCGCAUCUCGUAAUGUGUUUAAACUUGAAUUUUCGCAUGGAUAUAGGGCAUCACCCUCUUAUCAUCUCAUCUUUUUUAAUCCUUUCUGAAACUUUAAAACAACGUUUUCGUGUGGUUUUCAUCGGUUUCCUACAUUCAAUGUUGGGUUUCAUGUGAUAUUCUACCUUUAUUCUGAAACCUUUGCAUUGUGAGUUUUUUGCUUGGGAACACAAUAGAAACCCUUAUAGACACCUUUCGAUGUGGUGCACAAGCGUGGUGCACAAGGGGCUUGAGGUGGCCGGCGGCUGGGUCUCCCCCCGUGUCGCCCAUGAGAGCGACGCAGGGGUCAUGUGCGUCAUGCAGGUAGAUUGUGAGCCUAUAAGGCCAACUUCAACACACGACACCAUCCGGUCCGGGGUGUCUGUGGCCCAAAGGGACGCCACGGCCCAACACGCAACCCCAUCUUCAUUUUUUGUCCGUGUGACGUCCAGCCCGCUCCAUUUCCGGCACAAAAUUACGCCCGGUAUGCGUCCAGACGAACAGCGAACGAACGUUAACGUGUCCGCUCCGCAUCUGCCUCGGGCCCAUGUUGUAGCCGCCCACCUACCUCCCACCGCUCGCAUUUACGGCGCACGAGCGGGGCGCGCGUGCGCGCCGCCUGUCAGCCUCCCAGCCGUGGGGUCGGCGUCCUUUUUAAUGUGGAAGUCAUGGACCUGUCAAUCCACACUUCCACUCCCGACAACGCGUGCCUCCUUGAAGCCCGACAUGCCCAAACCCUAGCUCUGUCCGCCUUUCCUCCACCUCGCAGACGGCGGAAUGGGCUGGCAUUGGAUCCCGGCCGCAAGGGGAAGCACGACCACGAGGUCGGGUCGUCCUCCGACCAUUGCAGCCGCUCCUCCAGCGUUCCACAUGUCACCGUCGGUGACCGCUCCUCGCAUGUGGCUGUACACCAAGGCGGAGAUAUGCAAGCGUUAUUGGGAGACCGGCACACCGUUGCCGGGGAGCGACAUGCACCUCCCCAAUAACUGGCAUCUCUCUGCGGAUCGGGUGCCCAUUCCACCGAUCUCAGUGAGCGGCCGCGGCCGCCGCGAGGAGAUCGACCGCCGCCGCGCCUGCCUGCCGCCGGACCUCUUCCACGACGCAAGGUAUGCCGUGGACUCCCUGCCGUGGGAUACAUGGCUCCGCGACGAGCACGAUCUACAACGGCAAUCCUUUUUGCCGGUCGUCCUCCCAGUCAGCCGCGGGCGCAUGGGCGUAGGCUGGUUCGCGGCCUCACGCCCACUCCUUCACCGUCCUCGCCACCACCUGCUCCGAUGACCACCAAGGAGGAGCUCAUGAGGCUAGUGAUAGAGGACUCCGUCUGCACCCAUGACGAGCACCAAUGGUAGGGCCUCGAGGAGAUGAUAGGCCCACCCCGCGGUCGGCGACGUCGCCAUCCCAAAGCUCGACGCAGUCGUCAAGGAGGAGGCCAUGGAGGACGUGCGCGAGGAGGAGCCGGCGGCAUGGAACCCGACCUUGGUCGGCCAGUCCUUGUCAUGGACGGAUACGGUGUCGUGCAUGCCGAAGCCCGGGUGGGUGGACACUGGCACGUGGUCACCGUCACCGCCACAAUCAGAGGUUGUGCAUGCGCCACCGCAGGCGCCAUAGCAUGCGCCUCCGACCUGGAAGAGGCCGCCAGCCGACCUCUGGCAGCCACCGCCGUACGUCGACCUCACCGGGGACGACGACGAGGACGACAACAACUAAAGACGACGAAAGCCACAGUGGCAACGACCUUAUCUACUUUUUUGUCUUUUAAUUUUAAGUUUAGUUAAGAAAUGUAUUGGACUGGACUUUUGUUGACGUUAAUGUUUAUAUUAAUAUUUUAAAAUUAUUUGCAAUGUCUAUUUGGGUUUGUUUGAGGGUCAAAUUUCUAAGUCCAAAAGGCGGACAGUUUGGGAUGCGGUGGACCAGUUGGGCACACCGACAGCUGCACGACCACGAGCGGACGCACGUGUCCGUUUUGCCUACCCGAACGGGCAAAAUCCGGACAAACCGGACGUCCCUUUGGGGUCGAGGGUUGGAAUUGGCCUAAGCACAAGUGAAACAAAAAACAUCAAAGGUUGUGCUCAGAAUGUAGCAGCAAUCCUAUGAACAAAGUGCAAGUAAAUAUGGCACUGCAGAUUUUGAAGUUACAUGGGCCAUUAGAAAGAGACGAACAUAUGUGGUUGAAUAAUAGAAAACAACAAAGAAAAUUGCCAUUCGGACUGAGCCGACCUACUGCUGCUACUCCUCGCCGACAUGGUGCCGUUCAUCUAUGCUCAAUGCUAGUAGAAAACAGUCAAGCACACAUUAAACAAUUAACCAAAGGAGCCAAUGUAGCUCUUCUCCGGGAUAUCAUCCUUCACAACCACAAUUUAAAAGAGCAACAUGACCAUGCAAGACAUACUAAAUGAAGACUUCUCCUGUUAGUAAAUUGUCAAAUAUUCCAGAGGAAAUUCCUUGUAGUUAGAUUUGAAGCAUUGGCGAGAAACAAUUCAUCAAACAUCCAAAAGUGCAUUGUCCAACAUCAAGAAAAAAAGAGGUUACCUAGCAUGGGUGCAGGAUUCAACCUGGGCAGAGAAAAGGUAAGCAUGCAUAACUUGCUGUGGACAGGACAGAGAAGCGGAGCUCAAGCCUCGAUCUCGUCCUCGUUGAAGUCGUUGACAGACAGGUCCUGCAUUGCCCACUUGUAAGGACAGUGCAUAUCGUGUGUUUCAGUGCGGAUUGUACAUAGAAAAAAUGAUUGCAGCAUGCUGUUGGCUGCAUACAACCUCGUAAAAAUGACAUAGCUGAUGCAAGUAUGUUUUAGUGUCAACUGGAACAAACAUAAAACUCCAACAACAAAUAUGCAAGUUUGGAGUGAAUAAUAACUUAUUUUCUUCAUGCCUAAUAUAAUUAUAACAUGACCCUAUAUAACCACCAUCAACCUAUGAGUUUCACACCUACUCCCUCCGUUUCUAAAUAUAAGUCUUUUUUAGGGAUUUCAAUACGGACUACAUACGGAUGUAUAUAGACAUAUUUUAGAGUGUAGAUUCACUCAUUUUGCUCCAUAUGUAGUCCGCAUUGGGAUCUCUAAAAGGACUUAUAUUUAGGAACAGAGGGAGUAGAAUAUAAGCAUGCCAUGUGAAAUUCUCAUCAUUGUACAAGAAAAGGCUUUCUGGUGCACUAAUUGGAAACAAAUUAUCACACAUGCUUGCCGGUCACGGCAUACUGAACCAACACCACGCACCAGUCACUAUCUUUGAGCCAGCUUCUUAAGGUGCUGAAACAACUUCUGCUUUAUCCACUGCCAGUCAUACGGCAGAAACGCAUGGAUUUCAUGAUCAUAG